GUGGUUUAAGAUCUAACACUGGCCUGUCGUUUUACACGCACACAUGCAGUCGACGCGAAGGUACAUACCCCAGUGAGUGGCGACACGGGUGAGUAAUAUGUGGGUAACUCUGCCUCCAGAGGGGGAUAACCUGCGAAAGCCGGGCUAAUACCGCGUAUGUUACUUGGUCUUCGGAUCGAGCAAUUAAAGAUGGGUGAACCGCAAGGUCCUAUCGCUGGAAGAUGAGCCCACAUACCUAUCACU
rnacentral:rRNA from 1 species